AAAAAACAGUGGCUUUUUCUGCUAACCCUCUCAAGCAAUCAGAUAAGUAACUCAAAAUGAGGACCCAUGGGGAGAAUUGGCAAAUGAGAAGAGAGAAGAAUGGAGAAGUGGAAAGAAAUUUCAUCAGAAAGGCAUCUGUUGGGUAUUCUGGAAACCAGUGAUGUCUCAGUGAACAGAGACCAGAAUCCUUCCAUGGUGGAUUUUAACAUCUCUG
rnacentral:lncRNA from 1 species